rnacentral:lncRNA from 1 species
ACAUGUUUAUACAUAAACAAUUAACGUAUUUCAUGGUAUCUCACAAAAAUCAUACAUUUAAAAAAAAAAAAAAUGUUUAAUCCUAGAGCUAAUGCAAGUGUAGCAGUAAGCGACUUAAAAUCACUUAAGUCUGAGUAUUUUAAUAAAUCAGAUGAAUUACCUGAACGGACUCAAUUAUAUCAUGAAAGUUUGGGUGACAGUGAUAUAAAAGUAUGCUUACCUUUAAGAAUAGGGUUUUAUAAAGCUCUAAAAUCUAUGACAGGUGGUAUAAAAUGGGGUUGGGGGUUUACUAAUAGACCUAAAGAGACACCCGGGUAUUAUAUAAAUGAAAUAUUAUGUGGUUGUAUAUUAUGUUUAACUAUGUUACCUGAAAUGAUAUCUUUUUCAAUGAUAGCUAAAAUACCACCACAUUUAGGAUUACAAGGGGCAUCAUUUAUAUGUUUAAUAACAUCAAUUUUUGGUGGAUCACCUGCUGUUAUUCAUGGUGUUACAGGUGCUUUUGCAUCUAUCUGUGCACAAUAUCUUGAUGCAGAAGAUGCAAGUAAUUUAUUACCUAUAGGAAUAGAACGGUUAUAUGUUUGUAUAUUAAUCUGUUCUGUUAUGUUCUUAUUUUUUUCAAUGUUUCAUAUGUCAGCUCUAAUACAAUUAAUACCUACACCUGUAUUUAUUGGGUAUUGUAAUGGACUAUCUAUUAUAUUUUUAAAAGCUCAACUACAUACACUAAAAGAUCCUAAAACACAUAAAUAUAUAGAGGGUUAUUAUUUGAUUUGUUUUGUCAUUAUAUGUACACUGGUUGUUAUUAUUGUGGAGUUAUGGAAAAAGAUACCUAAGGUAGGACAUCGAAUUCCAUCAACUCUAGUAGCUAUAGCAGUAACAAUAUUUAUCGAAUUUGUAAUAUUUCGAAAUUUGUUACAUAAUUUUGAAGCAUUUAAAGGUGUUAAAUCAUUUACAGUAGGAGAUAUGUUUUCUUUGAGUUCUAAAGAUGCAAUCCCAAAUUUUUUAUUCACAAAUAAAAACUUAAAUUUUUCAAAUGUGUCAUUAGACAAAGAUUUACUUAAACAAGUAAUAAAUAUGUUUAUAGUUUUAUUAAUAGAAGUAUUAAUGGUAAGUGAAGUUAUUAAAGAUAUGGGUGGAGUAGAAUGUGAUACUAAUGAAACUAUUUUUUCACUUUUUAUUGGUAAUACUCUGGCAACUUUAGGAGGUGCAAUAGGUGGUAGUAGUUUGUUAGGGUUAUCGGUUUUAAAUUAUAGGAAUGGUGCAAGAGGUAAAGAAAGUGGUUUAGUUGCAGCUAUUUUAAUAUAUGGAAUUUUACUUUUUGGUUAUUCUUUAUUAAAUUUUAUACCAUUACCUUUUUUGUGUGGUAUUAUGAUUACAGUUUUUAUUCAUUGUUUUAAAUGGUUUUCUAUACCAAUUGUAUUUUUUACAUUUUGCCCUGGGUAUAUAAGAAACUGUCACCCUUGUAUGAGUAGAAAAAUAUCAAGAUGGGACGCAUUUGUUAUCGUUCUUGUUACUAGUUUAUGUGUUUUGAUAAACGUACCGACAGGAGUGCUUUCAGGCGUAUUUUUAUCUGCCUUAGUAUAUGUAUGGCAAAGCAAAUCCACUUUCAAAUUUGAAAUCUUUUAUGAUAAGGAUGCGGACACAAAGGUAAUAAAAAAAACAAAAAAAAAAAACAAAAAACAAAAAAAAAAAAAAAAAAAAAAAAAAUAGCACUUUUAUGGGACAUGUAAUUAUUACAUUUUAUAUUUUAAUUUUUUUAUUUUUGUGGUGAUUCGUUAAAAAUGACAUAUUGUUAUGUUAAAAAAAUAAAAAUAAAUAUAUAAAUAAAUAAUACUAAAUU